AAAGUGAUUGGACUUUAAGACCUGACACAG
rnacentral:piRNA from 1 species